GCAAUUAUUGGUCACGGUGCCCCGUACGGGCACUUUGGGCCUCCGUACAGGUGACAAUUUGGAGCGAACACGAAUGGUUUGGGGAGGGAUUUUUUUUUUGAAGGAGAGUAGCGAAGGGGUCAGCGGCGGCGGCGGUGGCGGCGGGGCUUUUCUUUUCUCUUGUUUCUCCGGCGCGGCGGCGGGAUUCUUUCGAUAGCAGCGAGGAUUUUGGAUUGCAUUGGAUUGGAUCGUGCUCCAGGAUUGUUGGGGAUUUCGCAUCUCCCGCGCGGCGCUGGCGUGUCUAGGGCCGCGCGGCAGCUCCCAGGAGCUGCGCAGCGUUCUUGCUGAGGCGGUGCGGCAAAGAAAUCGGGGAUUUCUCCCCGGGAUUUUGGAGCUGUCCAUGCGCGGCGCCCGAAAAUGAGGUGAGCCGGAAGAGCUUUCUUGGUCGAAAUUUCUCGCUCUCAGAGUCCAUGGAUUGGAUUGCAGCAGNNN
rnacentral:lncRNA from 1 species